AAUGGUGAUACGAACCCCUGAGCAUUUGUCGGACUACAUACGAUUCCAUGUUUGUCAAUCUUCGGUGUUUUCGGCUCUGCUUUGUUGUUGUUGAUCGCUGAUCAACUAGCAAUAUGAUCACAAACAACAGCAAAAUAACCAACUUGUUCUGGCACGAAAACACCGAAGCUCUUUAUAGCAUGUGACAAUAGAUGCUGUUGUGUUCGUAUUUAUUGCCCUGCUGAAAGAACGGUGUCUUUCGCUGUUUGUAACACUAUAAAGAGCUUCGGUGUUUUCGUGCCAGAACAAGUUGGUUCUUUUGCUGUUUGUAACACUAUAAAGAGCUUCGACUGCUCAUCUCAUGUGUCGAAGCUAACCACAUCUAGCGAUCAGAUGGGAUGGAGAUCGGUUGCUGUAGAGCCAAAGGACAACACACUACAUUGGAUAGCUGCUCAUAUCUUGGACUGGACAACGCGAUGCCAGUUGCAACAGACCGUUUUACAUGCUAACUAACUUGCACCGUAAGGUCACAAGCGAGCUGGCGCUAAUGCACGUCCCAAAGGUUCAAGUGGCAGAUUCAACAUCCAGUGUAUGAGUUCGUCCGCUCAAUUAAGUAUCAACACAACAUUCUCACGUGAGUUCAUCUGAUCCUGACGAUGAAAACUAGAAAAACUUCGAAGUGUUCCUGUUUCGAAGUGUUACGGGGGGGAGUGUUACGUGAGAAUGGUGAUACGAACCCCUGAGCAUUUGUCGGACUACAUACGAUUCCAUGUUUGUCAAUCUUCGGUGUUUUCGGCUCUGCUUUGUUGUUGUUGAUCGCUGAUCAACUAGCAAUAUGAUCACAAACAACAGCAAAAUAACCAACUUGUUCUGGCACGAAAACACCGAAGCUCUUUAUAGCAUGUGACAAUAGAUGCUGUUGUGUUCGUAUUUAUUGCCCUGCUGAAAGAACGGUGUCUUUCGCUGUUUGUAACAGAGGAAGUGGACAAUAUAUUGGCCUUUUGAAGCGUAGCUUUAAGUGGAUGUUAGUGAUGCACUUGAAC